GCUGGAAGAUGUGCAUGCUAUGGUGCCAAAUUCUUCGUCCAAUUUUUAGGACUGAACGAGUGUUCCAGCAGAUUAACCCGCAGAUGUAAAUAAAGCCAAUAUAUUUACAUCUACGUGGCAGCAGGGAGAGGCCUGGUACUUCUUGUCGAUUACGUAGGAAAAACAUUCAUCUACGGGUUGCAAAGCAAGCGAUGUAUUUUGUUACACUAAAAGGAAGAUGGUGCAGUUGAUAUUUACUUUGUGUUUUGCCGACUGCAGAUGUGAAUGUAUUUUUUUACUGUACAAGAUUUACACUUUUUUCCUC